UGAGCUUCCAAAUCAGACUGCUGUUAAACUGGCUCACUCCAUAUACUCUGUGCUACAGCAAUUUAAUAUUUCAUUAAAAAGCAUUAAUGAUGGCUCCAGUGAAUUUCUCCUAUUCAAGCUCCAUAAUGACAGCAGUUCAAGCGAGUGUUGAUCUCUGAGUGAUGCAACACAAAAACAUCGCCUAACAAAGGAACACUUGGAGUACUACUCAUAUUCUCUGCAACUUGAGGAGAAAAAGAAGUGUUCUAUAAGAAGUUUGGACAAGACUCUGCAAGAAGUUAAGAGGUCCUUAAAGGCAACUGUGAAUUAACGGAGACUAGUUUUGAGAAAAUCAGUCCUGAUUUGUUUCUCCUGGAGUUUUCUUCUUUAUGUGAUCCUUCAUAAAAGCUGCUAAUAUGGGAAAGAUUGAAAUCAGCAAGUUUCUGGCUGUAAGCUAAAAGAGGCUCUUGAAUCAUAUUUCCGCCUGCUUAGCAAAUUUCUCUUGCGACAAUUGGAUGUUAUUUGGGGUUCCAUACUAGCAGGAAGAAGUACAAGCAAAGCUAAGUCAUUUUGAGAAUAAAUAUUAUCUCUCUAUAUAUUUGUAAAUGUUAUUUUCUUUUUUUUUGAGGUUUAUGAUUGAUCCUUGGCAUGUGUCCCCUUGUGUAUUGCUCUACUAAAAAUAGCCUAAAAAAGAAUUUUCCCCUCGAUGUGGAGCU
rnacentral:lncRNA from 1 species